UACGUAGGUGGCAAGCGUUUAUCCGGAAUUAUUGGGCGUAAAGCGCGCGCAGGUGGUUUCUUAAGUCUGAUGUGAAAGCCCACGGCUCAACCGGUGGAGGGUCAUUGGAAACUGGGAGACUUGAGUGCAGAAGAGGAAAGUGGAAUUCCAUGUGUAGCGGUGAAAUGCGUAGAGAUAUGGAGGAACACCAGUGGCGAAGGCGACUUUUCUGGUCUGUAACUGACACUGAGGCGCGAAAGCGUGGGGAGCAAACAGG
rnacentral:rRNA from 1 species